GCUCGGGUGGUGGAAUGGUAGACACAAGAGACUUAAAAUCUCUUGCUCAUUUUGGGCGUGAAGGUUCGAGUCCUUUCCCGAGCA
rnacentral:tRNA from 2 species